GUGCUCACUUCAGCAGCACAUAUACUAAAAUUGGAACUACACAGAGAUUAGCAUGGCCCCUGCACAAGAAUGACACUCAAAUUCGGGAACCAUUACAUAUUAAA
ensembl:snRNA U6 U6 spliceosomal RNA